UACGGGGGGGGCAAGCGUUGUCCGGAAUUAUUGGGCGUAAAGAGCUCGUAGGCGGCUUGUCACGUCUGCUGUGAAAUCCCGGGGCUCAACCCCGGGCGUGCAGUGGAUACGGGCUGGCUAGAGGCAGGCAGGGGAGAACGGAAUUCCCGGUGUAGCGGUGAAAUGCGCAGAUAUCAGGAGGAACACCAAUAGCGAAGGCAGCUCGCUGGGACGGUACUGACGCUAAGGCGCGAAAGCGUGGGGAGCGAACAGG
rnacentral:rRNA from 1 species